GACGAACGCUGGCGGCGUGCUUAACACAUGCAAGUCGAACGGAAAGGCCUCUUUCGGGGGGUACUCGAGUGGCGAACGGGUGAGUAACACGUGAGUAACCUGCCCUUGACUUUGGGAUAACUUCAGGAAACUGGGGCUAAUACCGGAUAGGAGCUCCUGCUGCAUGGUGGGGGUUGGAAAGUUUCGGCGGUUGGGGAUGGACUCGCGGCUUAUCAGCUUGUUGGUGGGGUAGUGGCUUACCAAGGCUUUGACGGGUAGCCGGCCUGAGAGGGUGACCGGCCACAUUGGGACUGAGAUACGGCACAGACUCCUACGGGAGGCAGCAGUGGGGAAUAUUGAACAAGGGGUGGAAGCCUGAUGCAGCAACGCCGUGUGCGGGAUGACGGCCUUCGGGUUGUAAACCGCUUUCGCUCAUGACGAAGCUUUGUGUGACGGUAGUGGGUAAAGAAGCACCGGCUAACUACGUG
rnacentral:rRNA from 1 species